rnacentral:misc_RNA from 1 species
CUGCAAUCACAUUACGACUUCUUUUGGAGGCAAAACAACACAUAAUAAAGUACAACAGAUACAGAAGCCUCAAGACAUAUAGCUAGAAGCUCCCAUGUAUAUUAAAAAGAAAGCUCACUUUCCGACUCUAUAGCGCGUUAUUACAUAUCAAGAAAUGAUACUAGCUAGUCGUAGGUGGCAAAACUGCGAGACUAGGUUCAACAACCCGGAGCAAGCCAGUUGUUAGCCUUGUUGUUAGAUCUUCUGCAGAUACUUUCAUCACAUCCCUCCGCAUACCAAUAUCAGCUGCAUAGCGACUGGCACAAUAGACCCCAACAGCUGUUGCUACCAUCCCAUAAACGUUGGUGGUGACUAGACGUAGUGGUGUUGACAUAACAGCUGCAAGUGGUCCACCGAUUAUAGACACUGCUUGUCCACUUUGUCCCAUUGUACUAUCAUCUACCACGAGUAGUCCUGUCUUAGAGUAGAUGGCGAAGUCCUCACAGUUGUUCUUGAACACAUUGUACAGUCCAAAGCCAUUUGUAAGGAGGUAGUUUGCUCGAUGGACUACAAUGUCAUCUGGAUCCGAGACUGCAAGAGUGCAUGUUCCUCCACGUGCUUUUGCGAGGAAGAUAGCAGGAGUUACAGCAUAUUCAAAGCGAUAGAGGAUACCUCCAGCAAGAAAGCAGUCCAAACAUGACGAGACUACUCCGUGACCAUCUGAUGGUGGGGUGCAAACAGUACAAGGAACAGUAGAUCGAUUUGGAAUUGAACUUACCAAAAUAUGAUCCAGAAUGGUUCCAGUUCCUACUUCUUGACCACGUCUUGUGAAGUGAAUGACUUUAUUAUCCCCAACAUAGAUACCAUGAUGGGCAUAAAUAUAAGCAGUACGCCAAGAAUAAAUAUGAUCUCCAGGUUUGAGGCUGCUUCUAUCAAUUCUAUUAGAAAGCAACCCCAUUUCUUAAUUUUUUUGGAUAAACAGAAGGAUAUGAUGAAUCAAAAUUUGAUCAAGAACAAAAGUUUUUGUUCAUUUUACAAUCGAUCAUACAAGAAAAUCAAUGCUUACUCGAAAAUAGUUGAUCCUCGAGG